rnacentral:rRNA from 1 species
AGAGUUUGAUCCUGGCUCAGGAUGAGCGCUAGCGGCAGGCUUAAUACAUGCAAGUCAAGGGGGUAGCAAUACAACCGGCGCACGGGUGAGUAACGCGUACACAACAUACCAUAUACUGGGGUAUAGCUUUGGGAAACUGAAGGUAAUCCCCCAUAACAUUGCGAGAGGGCAUCUGAUUGCAAUUAAAGUUUCGGCGGUAUAUGAUUGGUGUGCGUUUGAUUAGCUAGUUGGUAGGGUAACGGCCUACCAAGGCGACGAUCAAUAGCUGGCGUGAGAGCGCGACCAGCCACACUGGAACUGAGACACGGUCCAGACUCCUACGGGAGGCAGCAGUAGGGAAUAUUGGACAAUGGGCGCAAGCCUGAUCCAGCCAUGCCGCGUGAUAGAUGAAGGCCCUCUGGGUUGUAAAUAUCUUUUAUCUGGGAAGAAACUCCUCUAUUCUUAGAGGCCUGACGGUACCAGAGGAAUAAGCACCGGCUAACUCCGUGCCAGCAGCCGCGGUAAUACGGAGGGUGCAAGCGUUAUCCGGAUUCACUGGGUUUAAAGGGUGCGUAGGCGGGCUGAUAAGUCAGUGGUGAAAGCUCCGAGCUUAACUUGGAAACUGCCAUUGAUACUGCCAGUCUUGAAUGUCGUAGAGGUAAGCGGGAAUGUUGCAUGUAGCGGUGAAAUGCUUA